rnacentral:rRNA from 1 species
UACAGAGGUCUCGAGCGUUAGGCGGAAUCACUGGGCUUAAAAGCGUGUGUAGGUGGAUGCCUAAGUACCUUGUGAAAUCCCACAGCUUAACUGUGGAACUGCUUGGUAUACUGGGUGUCUUGAGUCACUCAGGGGGCGAGCGGAACAAAUGGUGGAGCGGUGAAAUGCGUAGAUAUCGCUUGGAACGCCGAAGGUGAAAACAGGCUGCUGGGGUUGUGCCGACGCUGAGACACGAAAGCCAGGGGAGCAAACGGGG